UUUUUUUUUUUUUUUGUUUUGACAGAUCCUAUUUAAUUGGAGUUAGAAGUAUGAUAGUAGAAGAAAGUAUCAUGCUGAACAAAGUCAGGUAUUGAACUGUGAUAUGAUUUAUUCAUCUUCACGGUAAAACUGUACAAAUAACCUACAAAAGUCAGCUGUGUUUGGCAAAGUAUGAUCAUCAUAUGAAAUUAUAAAACAGGUAUUAUUAUGGAAACAGGAAUACAAAUGUCCUGUUUCCAUCAUUUCACUGACUUGCUUGGAUAGUCAUAUUGUCUGUAGGCUGAUGCCUACAGACAAGAUGACUGUCCAGCAAGGUCAUGUUUUGUGUGUUUUGGGACAGCAAAGUUGUCAUAUUGAUAGAUUACUUAUAAAAAAAGGGUUGACAGUAAUGGAUACACUACAGGAACUUUGCUACAAAAGUUACAGGACAAUAGGAAAGAAAAAAAAAGAUAUGGUUUGCUGUCAAAAGAUGUAUUACUAUUAUCUGAAAAUGUACUUGAA
rnacentral:lncRNA from 1 species